rnacentral:lncRNA from 1 species
UGAAGUAUAUAUUUUAUUUUUCACAGAGGCACUUGGAGAAAGAGAGGCAAUUACUCCUAAGCCACUUAUGACUAAUUUGAAAUCUAUUUCCAUGUAGCAACAAAAUUAGGGAGCAAAAGUGACAGCUGUUUAAUUAAAUUCCAGAGCCACUGAGUUGGCGUUAAUGUGCAAAAACUCAGCAGAGCUGCAGCGAGGAACUGUGGAGUGAGCCUACAGCAACAGUAACCUGAACUGCAUCCAGUCAAAACUGUGCUGGGGUCUUUUAAUGUGUGUAAGGUGUUAAUGCGUUGAAGAGACUUGUUUGAAAGAAAAGGGCAAAGUUAAUUUGGUGGAAGUAAUGUGAAGCACUAGAUUUUAUGAUUCACAAACACUUUGCUGGCCCCCUGAGAGAGAGGAGCAGAUCGCUUUAGGAUCUGAUCACUGCAUAUUCUCCUGAUUCCUCCCUGAUUUUUCCUGUUUUUUUUCCUAGAUUUCUUCUUGGACAGGGCUUUGAGAAUGUCGGCUUCCCGUUAUCUGUAUCGUCUUCGCAGAAAUGGCUGCCCUGUACUGCAGACGGAGGUGGGGAGAGACUCGGUGACGUUCGUACAGGAGGAGGAGACGAUUUGCGCCGCGUCAAGCCAGCUCGUUACAGCGGGUUCCUGCCAACUGUGGUGCGGGCUGGGCAGAGCACAGACUAAACCUCAACUUGCUCCUUCGGAGGUGGAAUGAGGGCGCAUUCCGAGCUGUCUCCCGCCCUGCAGCUCAGCCGGCGACAAUGCCAGACUGUGACCGCUUGGGAAGCCCCACUGCGGUGCUCCCAUGACCACAAGAGCCGUGAGUUCCGUUGCUUUUAAUUAACGCCCGCUGCUCCAACGCACCACUGACACUGCAAAAAAAC